GGCAUGCAAUGGUCCUGAGAGGGGACAGUGACAAAGUACAUCCUGCAGUUACAUUGGCUCUCAGGUCCAGGACACUCCUACAUAAAACAUAAUCCUUCCCCUGUGCCUGGGAGAUAAUUGAGUCAAGCACUAUACUAAACUCCAUUAUCUGCAAACAAACCCCUUCCCCCCACAGAUUUCCACAAAACCCCGAAAGUACCCCAAACCUAAUGGAAACCCCACAAAAGUCAUCCCCUGAUAGCCCUGAUCUGGGAGACCAACAAACAUUAAAAAAA